AUUAGAGCAUGACAUCACUGAUCAAUACAAUAUUAAAUCUGGAAGAGAGGUGAGAGAUCAGAUUGACCUGCUACGGCCAGUGUGUAUGUGUGUGUCAGCCAGAUAAUGCAGGGUUAAGAAUGUGAUAAUGUGUGUGUCUGUAAUAAUGCAGGGUUCACCAACCCUGUUCCUGGAGAGAGACCCUCCUGUAGGUUUCAACUACAACCCUGUUCCUGGAGAGAGACCCUCCUGUAGGUUUCAACUACAACCCUGUUCCUGGAGAGUUUUUAGUCCAACUCUAGUCAAACGCACCUGGUUCUAAUAAUUAUCUUGUUGAUAAACUGAACCAGUUACACCUGGGGCUGGAGUUUAAACCUACAGGAGGGUACCUCUCCAGGAACAGGGUUGGAGUUUAAACCUACAGGAGGGUCUCUCUCCAGGAACAGGGUUGGAGUUUAAAC